rnacentral:rRNA from 1 species
UACGUAGGCAGCGAGCGUUGUUCGGAGUUACUGGGCGUAAAGGGUGCGUAGGCGGUUGUUUAAGUUUGGUGUGAAAUCUCCCGGCUCAACUGGGAGGGUGCGCCGAAUACUGAAUGACUAGAGUGCGGGAGAUGAGAGUGGAAUUCCUGGUGUAGCGGUGAAAUGCGUAGAUAUCAGGAGGAACACCGGUGGUGUAGACGGCUCUCUGGACCGUAACUGACGCUGAGGCACGAAAGCGUGGGUAGCAAACAGG